rnacentral:rRNA from 1 species
AUGGUCUUUAUUUGCAUUUUUUUUCAGAGCCCAGACAUUCCUGCUCAACUAAUUCCAGUGCUAGGACAAGAAAUCAAUUCAUACGAUGAUGCAUUCAAUUUUUUUAAUGACUACGCCGAACAUGCUGGGUUCGGCAUAAGGAAAGGACAGAGAAAUAAGAAGAAACGCUACUUAUAUUGCGUACACUCUAGCAAAUACAUAUCCUCUAUUCACGAUGCAGAUCGUCAGCGCAACAAAGUAACAAAAAGAAUUGAUUGCAAGACAAUGAUGCUCUUGGAAGAAAGAAACGACGGGACUUGUGUUGUCAAAGAGAUUGUGCUUGAACAAAACCGCAGGCUCCUCAACAGCCCGUCCGCGCUUCUGUUUCUGCAUUCACACAAGACGAUAGAUCCAACAAUGAAAGUAUACAUAAAAGACCUACAUAAGACAAAUGUUAAGCAUGUGAAUAUCAUGGGUCUGCUCUCUUGGUUAUCUGGUGGGCGUGACAAAUUGCCAUUUACAGACAUGGACGUGCUUAACAUCAAAGCAGAAUUUGCGAGGACUGAUUCGCAAGAUGACGUGGAGAAAUUGUUUGCAUUCUUUGAGGAGAUGAAGAAUGAGAAUGAGAAUUUCUUCUUUGAUGUAGAUUCCAAUGCUAGCUGCCAGGCUGCAUAUGCAGAUUUUGGUGACUGCGUCACGUUUGACACCACAUACAAAACAAACAAGUAUCACAUGCCUUUGGGGGUUUUCGUCGGUGUGAAUAAUCAUCUUCAAUCUACAAUUUUUGGAGUUGCCUUGGUGGGCAAUGAGAGUAGCGACUCCUUCAAAUGGAUUUUUAAUACAUUUUUAAGGUGCAUGAGAAGGAAGGCUCCUACAUGCAUCCCCACAGACCAGUGCCCGGCAAUGGCUUUGGCGAUCGCAGAUGUUUUCCAGAACACAAUACAUAAGCUAUGCCGCUGGCACAUUAUGAAGAAGUACAGGGAACACCUCGCGUACCUGUAUUUCCUACACGAUGACUUUAAGGAUGAAUUCACAUCAAUUCUCAACUGGCCCCUCAUGCCAACUGAGUUUGAGGAUGCCUGGAAAAGACUCAUGGAUAAGUACAACCUCCACGAUGAUGCCACAAUGGUGGGCAUGUGGGACGAGUGUGAGAAAUGGAUAUCAACCUACUUCAAAGAAAUUUUCUGCGCCAAAAUGACAUCCACACAGCGAAGUGAGAGCAUGAACUAUGUGCUCAAGAAGAACUACGUAAAUGAGAGACAUAACCUACACCGGUUUGUCAGCCAGGUAAACUCCUGCGUCAAAACCAGGAGGUAG